rnacentral:rRNA from 1 species
AUUGAACGCUGGCGGCAUGCCUUACACAUGCAAGUCGAACGGUAACAGGUCUUCGGAUGCUGACGAGUGGCGAACGGGUGAGUAAUACAUCGGAACGUGCCCAGACGUGGGGGAUAACGAGGCGAAAGCUUUGCUAAUACCGCAUACGAUCUAAGGAUGAAAGCAGGGGACCGCAAGGCCUUGUGCGUUUGGAGCGGCCGAUGGCAGAUUAGGUAGUUGGUGGGAUAAAAGCUUACCAAGCCGACGAUCUGUAGCUGGUCUGAGAGGACGACCAGCCACACUGGGACUGAGCCACGGCCCAGACUCCUACGGGAGGCAGCAGUGGGGAAUUUUGGACAAUGGGCGAAAGCCUGAUCCAGCAAUGCCGCGUGCAGGAUGACGGCCUUCGGGUUGUAAACUGCUUUUGUACGGAACGAAAAGGCUCUGGCUAAUACCUGGGGCACAUGACGGUACCGUAAGAAUAAGCACCGGCUAACUACGUG